AUUGAACGCUGGCGGCAGGCUUAACACAUGCAAGUCGAGCGGGGUGAUGGUGCUUGCACUAUCACUUAGCGGCGGACGGGUGAGUAAUGCUUAGGAAUCUGCCUAUUAGUGGGGGACAACAUCUCGAAAGGGAUGCUAAUACCGCAUACGUCCUACGGGGGAAAGCAGGGGAUCACUUGUGACCUUGCGCUAAUAGAUGAGCCUAAGUCGGAUUAGCUAGUUGGUGGGGUAAAGGCCUACCAAGGCGACGAUCUGUAGCGGGUCUGAGAGGAUGAUCCGCCACACUGGGACUGAGACACGGCCCAGACUCCUACGGGAGGCAGCAGUGGGGAAUAUUGGACAAUGGGGGGAACCCUGAUCCAGCCAUGCCGCGUGUGUGAAGAAGGCCUUAUGGUUGUAAAGCACUUUAAGCGAGGAGGAGGCUCUUUUGGUUAAUACCCAGAAUGAGUGGAUGUUACUCGCAGAAUAAGCACCGGCUAACUCUGUGCCAGCAGCCGCAGUAA
rnacentral:rRNA from 1 species